GCUGCACCUGCCCGUGCGCGUCUCACCGCCGCUGCUCACCCUGAGACCGGACCGGAGCGCGACCGUUACCUGCUCGCUGCUCAUGAAACGGAUGAGAGGCGCCACCUUCACGUGGAGCAAGGCGGUGGGCCGCGAUCCACCCAGACCGCUGACCGGGCGGGACCCGGCCGAACAGGUGGUCACCUACUGCUGGGGGCAUUCCACCCUGAUCAUCCGACAUCCGCAGACGGCGCAGUACGAGUGCAAUGUGGUGCUGGGGACGCUGACCAGCGAUGCCAGUGUCCAG